UGGUGGUUUCAGGGAAGGUUUCAUGGGAGGAGACUGAGAAGAAUGGUCCUUGAGCCCCUCACUAAGCAAAAUACCACUGGUUCUGAAUUCUGCCAAAGUUCAGCUCUUCAGCUCAUGGUGCUGCUGCCUCGUGGUCACCCUCCAUUCCCAGCUACAUCUAGGAGCUGUUGACCAGAAGUGAUGAAGCAGGACAUGUGACAGCUGAUUCACAGGAGUUACUGGGCACACUUGAAUACUAUAGGGGACCUAACUGGCAAAGCAAGAGAAAGGCUCAGAAACCAUGCACACUACCCAGGAAUGAAGAGAAAGGAAGAGAAGAAGGAAGGUAAGGAUUUUAUUAGUGUCUCAGGCAAGAACUACUGAUACUUGCACUUCUCUACUCCACUUUGAAACAAUGGUUUAUUAGUUUGCAUGCAGUUUAUUAAACACAGAGAAAAACCAUCAACUUAUCUGUUUAGUGUGGUUCAUUGCAGGAGAAUAAGAUAACGAUUUCUGCCCAUUCAGUGCUAGUCCCCCAAUAUUUGCUAAGUGACAGACAGUGCUACUAAUGCUGAGGGUGUGGUGAUAUGCCAGUUCUUAAGAAAUGUGAUCCACUGGAGGAAAUCCUCAUGAACCAACAGAAUCACUGUCAUAAGACUAAAAGAAAUAUUUGCAGGCAGCCUGGGUGGCUCAGCAGUUCAGCACUGCCUUUGGCCCAGGGUGUGAUC